AUUGAACGCUGGCGGCAGGCCUAACACAUGCAAGUCGAGCGGAUGAAGGGAGCUUGCUCCUGGAUUCAGCGGCGGACGGGUGAGUAAUGCCUAGGAAUCUGCCUGGUAGUGGGGGAUAACGUCCGGAAACGGGCGCUAAUACCGCAUACGUCCUGAGGGAGAAAGUGGGGGAUCUUCGGACCUCACGCUAUCAGAUGAGCCUAGGUCGGAUUAGCUAGUUGGUGGGGUAAAGGCCUACCAAGGCGACGAUCCGUAACUGGUCUGAGAGGAUGAUCAGUCACACUACAACUGAGACGCGGUCCAGACUCCUACGGGAGGCAGCAGUGGGGAAUAUUGGACUAUGGGCGAAGGCCUGGUCCAACCAUGCCGCGUGUGUGAAGAAGGUCUUCGGAUUGUAAAGCUCUUUAACUUGGGUGGAAGGGUAGUAAGUUAAUACCUUGCUGUUUUGACGUUACCAACAGAAUAAGCACCGGCUAACUUCGUG
rnacentral:rRNA from 1 species